GGUUGUGGCUCAGUGGUAGAGUGUUCACUUAGCAUGCAUGAGGCACUGGGUUCGAUCCUCAGAACCA
rnacentral:tRNA from 1 species